GUUGGAGGUUGCCAGACCCUGGAAGCAGGCCAAAAUGCUAUCCCCAUAGCCAGGAUGCUAUUCUGAGUCUGGGGUCUCGCUGUGUAUGCUGAUACAGAACACAACAACCAAGAGUGAUGAUUCUUCAGCAGCAGAAGCUUCUGGUGAAGAUACUAGGGUCUGUGAGGGAUCGUCACACAGGUCAGGGCACAGCUGAAUCCAUCAUUGAAGAUCCUGGUGAUGUUUGAAGAUGUAGCCAGAUAUCUCUACCAAGAGAAGUGAGAACUCCUUAAUGUAACCCAGAAAGGGUGUUGCUGAACAACUUCACAUUUGUUAGCUCUCUGGAGAUAGGAUUUCUCUGUGUACCUCUGACUAUCCUGGAACUUGAUCU